UACCUGUGUGUGGCUGGUGUCAUCACUAAGGACAGAUGUGUUUACCUGUGUGUGGAUGGUGUCAUCACUAAGGACAGGUGUGUUUACCU
rnacentral:pre_miRNA from 1 species